GACGAACGCUGGCGGCGUGCCUAAUACAUGCAAGUCGAACGAGAGCGACCGGUGCUUGCACUGGUCAAUCUAGUGGCGAACGGGUGAGUAACACGUGGGUAACCUGCCCAUCAGAGGGGGAUAACAUCCGGAAACGGAUGCUAAAACCGCAUAGGUCUUCGAGCCGCAUGGCUUGAAGAGGAAAAGAGGCGCAAGCUUCUGCUGAUGGAUGGACCCGCGGUGCAUUAGCUAGUUGGUGAGGUAACGGCUCACCAAGGCCGUGAUGCAUAGCCGACCUGAGAGGGUGAUCGGCCACAUUGGGACUGAGACACGGCCCAAACUCCUACGGGAAGCAGCAGUAGGGAAUCUUCCGCAAUGGACGCAAGUCUGACGGAGCAACGCCGCGUGAGUGAAGAAGGUUUUCGGAUCGUAAAACUCUGUUGUUAGAGAGGAACAAGUGCUAGAGUAACUGUUAGCGCCUUGACGGUAUCUAACCAGAAAGCCACGGCUAACUACGUG
rnacentral:rRNA from 1 species